rnacentral:rRNA from 1 species
UACGUAGGGAGCAAGCGUUGUCCGGAAUUACUGGGUGUAAAGGGAGUGUAGGCGGGAUGGCAAGUCGGAUGUGAAAUUUAUGGGCUCAACCUAUAAACUGCAUUUGAAACUGCUGUUCUUGAGUGAAGUAGAGGCAGGCGGAAUUCCUAGUGUAGCGGUGAAAUGCGUAGAUAUUAGGAGGAACAUCAGUGGCGAAGGCGGCCUGCUGGGCUUUUACUGACGCUGAGGCUCGAAAGCGUGGGUAGCAAACAGGAUUAGAUACC